UACGGAGGAUGCAAGCGUUAUCCGGAAUGAUUGGGCGUAAAGCGUCCGCAGGUGGCAAUGUAAGUCUGCUGUUAAAGAGUCUAGCUCAACUAGAUAAAAGCAGUGGAAACUACAUAGCUAGAGUACGUUCGGGGCAGAGGGAAUUCCUGGUGUAGCGGUGAAAUGCGUAGAGAUCAGGAAGAACACCAGUGGCGAAGGCGGCCUGCUGGGCUGCACCUGACGCUGAGCCGCGAAAGCCAGGGGAGCGAACGGG
rnacentral:rRNA from 1 species